GUGGGGAAUAUUGGACAAUGGGCGAAAGCCUGAUCCAGCCAUGCCGCGUGUGUGAAGAAGGUCUUCGGAUUGUAAAGCACUUUAAGUUGGGAGGAAGGGCAGUAAGUUAAUACCUUGCUGUUUUGACGUUACCGACAGAAUAAGCACCGGCUAACUUCGUGCCAGCAGCCGCGGUAAUACGAAGGGUGCAAGCGUUAAUCGGAAUUACUGGGCGUAAAGCGCGCGUAGGUGGUUUUGUAAGUUGGAGGUGAAAUCCCCGGGCUCAACCUGGGAACUGCCUCCAAAACUGCAUGACUAGAGUACGGUAGAGGGUAGUGGAAUUUCCUGUGUAGCGGUGAAAUGCGUAGAUAUAGGAAGGAACACCAGUGGCGAAGGCGACUACCUGGACUGAUACUGACACUGAGGUGCGAAAGCGUGGGGAUCAAACAGGAUUAGAAACCCGAGUAGUCC
rnacentral:rRNA from 1 species